GCCUGGCUGGUUCAUUCAGUAGAGCAUGUGACUGUUGAUCUCAAGGUUGUGAGUUCGAGCCCCAUGUAGGGUG
rnacentral:tRNA from 1 species